AGAGUUUGAUCCUGGCUCAGGACGAACGCUGGCGGCGUGCCUAAUACAUGCAAGUAGGACGCACAGCCUAUACCGUAGCUUGCUACACCAUAGGCUGUGAGUUGCGAACGGGUGAGUAACGCGUAGGUAACCUGCCUAUUAGAGGGGGAUAACUAUUGGAAACGAUAGCUAAUACCGCAUAACAGUAUGUAACACAUGUUAGAUGCUUGAAAGAUGCAAUUGCAUCGCUAGUAGAUGGACCUGCGUUGUAUUAGCUAGUAGGUAGGGUAAUGGCCUACCUAGGCAACGAUACAUAGCCGACCUGAGAGGGUGAUCGGCCACACUGGGACUGAGACACGGCCCAGACUCCUACGGGAGGCAGCAGUAGGGAAUCUUCGGCAAUGGGGGGAACCCUGGCCGAGCAACGCCGCGUGAGUGAAGAAGGUUUUCGGAUCGUAAAGCUCUGUUGUUAAGGAAGAACGAGUGUGAGAAUGGAAAGUUCAUACUGUGACGGUACUUAACCAGAAAGGGACGGCUAACUACGUGCCAGCAGCCGCGGU
rnacentral:rRNA from 1 species